rnacentral:misc_RNA from 1 species
UUUCCGUAGGUGAACCUGCGGAAGGAUCAUUGGAGAAAGUAUAGUGUGUGAGAGAGGGAGAGGGAGGGAGGAAGAGAGAGGGUUCUUUCUGUCCUCUGUCUCUCUCUUCUUUUGCAUACAACCAACCCCACAUGUGAACGUGCCAUGUGAUGUGGAGUGGAGGAGGAGAAAGAAGGAAAGAUUUUUGACGAUCUUUCUUUUGCUUCUCUUCGGUUCAUCCGCUCUGCAUUCCGUGAUCAACAAAACCCUUUUUUUGUUUCUUUUUAUGGCGACACGGAAGCAGAGGAAAGAGAAGAGGCUUUUCUCCAACUCUCGUUUGCUGUCACUAUAAAUAACUUUUAUAUAUAAAGAAAACAACUUUUAACAAUGGAUCUCUUGGCUCUC